rnacentral:rRNA from 1 species
GAUGAACGCUGGCGGCGUGCCUAAUACAUGCAAGUCGAGCGAACGGACGAGAAGCUUGCUUCUCUGAUGUUAGCGGCGGACGGGUGAGUAACACGUGGAUAACCUACCUAUAAGACUGGGAUAACUUCGGGAAACCGGGGCUAAUACCGGAUAAUAUUUUGAACCGCAUGGUUCAAAAGUGAAAGACGGUCUGGCUGUCACUUAGAGAUGGAUCAGCGCUGCAUUAGCUAGUUGGUAAGGUAACGGCUUACCAAGGCAACGAUCCAUAGCCGACCUGAGCGGGUGAUCGGCCACACUGGAACUGAGACACGGUCCAGACUCCUACGGGAGGCAGCAGUAGGGAAUCUUCCGCAAUGGGCGAAAGCCUGACGGAGCAACGCCGCGUGAGUGAUGAAGGUCUUCGGAUCGUAAAACUCUGUUAUUAGGGAAGAACAUAUGUGUAAGUAACUGUGCACAUCUUGACGGUACCUAAUCAGAAAGCCACGGCUAACUACGUG